GUGCAUAAAAGCUCAGUUGGCAGAGCGUGAGACUCUUGAUCUCAGGGUUGUGGGUCCCACAUUGGGGGAGAGAUUCCUGCCUUGCAUG